AGUUCAUGUACAUAAUACUAGUGUCAUCAUGGGCAGUUUAUUUAAUACACUACCAAUGACACCACCAUGGUAUAUAUACAGCAACUUGUGGUUACCACUUGGCAAAAGGGCUCUUUAGGUCAGAGGGCUGUGGUAGAAUUGCAGUGCUGCAGGUUCAAUUCAUGCUGACAGGCUUGUAAUUGUAUUCCACAUGUAUUCAUGAUAUCAUUCUAAUGAAAAUUUCAUUUUAGAACUGCAUUAAAUAUUAUAGGGCGUAAGAGUAUAUCAUUAUAUUAUGCUACAGCAAAUUGUAUUUCCUGCUAUAAUAUACCUUGUAGGGA